UACAGAGGUCCCAAGCGUUGUUCGGAUUCACUGGGCGUAAAGGGUGCGUAGGCGGUCGGGUAAGUCUGACGUGAAAUCUUCAAGCUCAACUUGGAAACUGCGUCGGAUACUAUUCGGCUAGAGGAAUGGAGGGGAGACUGGAAUACUUGGUGUAGCAGUGAAAUGCGUAGAUAUCAAGAGGAACACCAGUGGCGAAGGCGAGUCCCUGGACAACACCUGACACUGAGGCACGAAAGCUAGGGGAGCAAACAGG
rnacentral:rRNA from 1 species